UACGGAGGGGGCUAGCGUUGUUCGGAAUUACUGGGCGUAAAGCGCACGUAGGCGGCUUUGUAAGUUAGAGGUGAAAGCCCGGAGCUCAACUCCGGAACUGCCUCUAAGACUGCAUCGCUUGAAUCAUGGAGAGGUUAGUGGAAUUCCGAGUGUAGAGGUGAAAUUCGUAGAUAUUCGGAAGAACACCAGUGGCGAAGGCGACUAACUGGACAUGUAUUGACGCUGAGGUGCGAAAGCGUGGGGAGCAAACAGGG
rnacentral:rRNA from 1 species